rnacentral:misc_RNA from 1 species
GAUGAAGAACGUAGCGAAAUGCGAUAAGUAAUGUGAAUUGCAGAAUUCAGUGAAUCAUCGAAUCUUUGAACGCACAUUGCGCCGCUUGGUAUUCCGAGGGGCAUGCCUAUUCGAGCGUCAUUAUCACCCCUCAAGCCUAGCUUGGUGUUGAGGCCUGCUGUCAAGGCAGCCUCUAAAAUCAGUGGCAGUGCUGUCAGGCUCUAAGCGUAGUAAAUCUAAUCGCUAUAGACACCUGGUGGACACUCGCCAGAACCCCCCCAUUUUUUAAUGAUUGACCUCGGAUUAGGUAGGGAUACCCGCUGAACUUAAGCAUAUCAAUAAGCGGAGGA